UACGAAGGGGGCUAGCGUUGCUCGGAAUCACUGGGCGUAAAGCGCACGUAGGCGGCUUUUAAGUCGGGGGUGAAAUCCUGGAGCUCAACUCCAGAACUGCCUUCGAUACUGAGAAGCUUGAGUCCGGGAGAGGUGAGUGGAACUGCGAGUGUAGAGGUGAAAUUCGUAGAUAUUCGCAAGAACACCAGUGGCGAAGGCGGCUCACUGGCCCGGUACUGACGCUGAGGUGCGGAAAGCGUGGGGAGCAACAGGG
rnacentral:rRNA from 1 species